GAUGAACGCUGGCGGCGUGCUUAACACAUGCAAGUCGAACGAUGAAGCCCACUUGUGGGUGGAUUAGUGGCGAACGGGUGAGUAACACGUGAGUAACCUGCCCUUGACUCUGGGAUAAGCCUGGGAAACUGGGUCUAAUACCGGAUAUGACCUUCCAUCGCAUGGUGGUUGGUGGAAAGCUUUUGUGGUUUUGGAUGGACUCGCGGCCUAUCAGCUUGUUGGUGGGGUAAUGGCCUACCAAGGCGACGACGGGUAGCCGGCCUGAGAGGGUGACCGGCCACACUGGGACUGAGACACGGCCCAGACUCCUACGGGAGGCAGCAGUGGGGAAUAUUGCACAAUGGGCGGAAGCCUGAUGCAGCGACGCCGCGUGAGGGAUGACGGCCUUCGGGUUGUAAACCUCUUUCAGUAGGGAAGAAGCGAGAGUGACGGUACCUGCAGAAGAAGCGCCGGCUAACUACGUGCCAGCCGCCGCGGUAACAC
rnacentral:rRNA from 1 species